rnacentral:ncRNA from 1 species
GCGGACUUGGAUCCGUUGGAAUGUGACCUUAAUGGUUGAACCGUAGA